GCGUGUUAACCAGUAGAGAUGGCGAUAAAGCAGAGCUACUAGCCUUGAGUGUGUUUAAGCUUCAUGCAUGUCAGUGUUCUUGGUGGAGAUCAAGAGCUCAUCAAAUCCAAGGAGUCUUUCCAAUCUUAUUAUUGAUAGGACCAAACAAGAGGGAUCUGAUACUGAGGACCAAACAAGGAGGAUCAGAUAGCCCCAGGCUCAAGGAAUGGCUCAGAGAGACUCGAUAAAGAAAAAGGCAUCGUAUAACUGGUCACUCUUUUUUUACCAUUAGCAAUUGCAUGUUUCGACGGUUUUAAUGCCUGUACUAGUGACUAUGAUGUUCUUAAUUGUUGAAUGAAAUUGCAGUAUACCGAAAUCAUGUUAGUGGAA